UACGGGGGGGGGCAAGCGUUGUUCGGAAUUACUGGGCGUAAAGGGCGUGUAGGCGGCCAACUAAGUCCGACGUGAAAUCCCCAGGCUUAACCUGGGAACUGCGUCGGAUACUGGAUGGCUUGAAUUCGGGAGAGGGAUGCAGAAUUCCUGGUGUAGCGGUGGAAUGCGCAGAUAUCAGGAGGAACACCGGUGGCGAAGGCGGGUCUCUGGGCAGUAACUGACGCUGAGGAGCGAAAGCGUGGGGAGCGAACAGG
rnacentral:rRNA from 1 species